rnacentral:rRNA from 1 species
GAUGAACGCUAGCUACAGGCUUAACACAUGCAAGUCGAGGGGCAGCAUGUCGGUUGCUUGCAACCGAUGAUGGCGACCGGCGCACGAGUGAGUAACGCGUAUCCAACCUACCCUUGUCCAUCGGAUAACCCGUCGAAAGGCGGCCUAACACGAUAUGCGGUUCACAGCAGGCAUCUAACGUGAACGAAAUGUGAAGGAGAAGGAUGGGGAUGCGUCUGAUUAGCUUGUUGGCGGGGUAACGGCCCACCAAGGCGACGAUCAGUAGGGGUUCUGAGAGGAAGGUCCCCCACAUUGGAACUGAGACACGGUCCAAACUCCUACGGGAGGCAGCAGUGAGGAAUAUUGGUCAAUGGGCGAGAGCCUGAACCAGCCAAGUAGCGUGCAGGAAGACGGCCCCUAUGGGUUGUAAAACUGCUUUUGUGCGGGGAUAAAGUGUGCGACGUGUCGCUCAUUGCAGGUACCGNACGAAUAAGGACCGGCU